rnacentral:rRNA from 1 species
GACGAACGCUGGCGGCGUGCUUAACACAUGCAAGUCGAGCGGAAAGGCCCUUCGGGGUACUCGAGCGGCGAACGGGUGAGUAACACGUGAGUAACCUGCCCCAGACUUUGGGAUAACCCUCGGAAACGGGGGCUAAUACCGGAUACGACACAGCUUCGCAUGGGGUCUGUGUGGAAAGUUUUUCGGUUUGGGAUGGGCUCGCGGCCUAUCAGCUUGUUGGUGGGGUGAUGGCCUACCAAGGCGACGACGGGUAGCCGGCCUGAGAGGGCGACCGGCCACACUGGGACUGAGACACGGCCCAGACUCCUACGGGAGGCAGCAGUGGGGAAUAUUGCACAAUGGGCGGAAGCCUGAUGCAGCGACGCCGCGUGCGGGAUGACGGCCUUCGGGUUGUAAACCUCUUUCAGCAGGGACGAAGCGUAAGUGACGGUACCUGCAGAAGAAGCGCCGGCCAACUACGU